GCCGAUCGGGUGUCCGCACUAAGUUCGG
rnacentral:piRNA from 1 species